rnacentral:rRNA from 1 species
ACGCUCGACACCUACGGGAGGCGGCAGUGGGGAAUAUUGGGCAAUGGGCGAAAGCCUGACCCAGCAACGCCGCGUGAGGGAAGAAGGUUUUCGGAUUGUAAACCUCUGUCCUCAGGGACGAAGGACGUGACGGUACCUGAGGAGGAAGCCCCGGCUAACUACGUGCCUGCAGCCGAGGUAAUCUGAGCGGGCUGGCAAGGC